rnacentral:rRNA from 1 species
CUACGGGAUGCUGCAGUGAGGAAUAUUGCACAAUGGGGGGAACCCUGAUGCAGCAACGCCGCGUGGAGGAUGACGCAUUUCGGUGUGUAAACUCCUUUUAUAUGUCAAGAAAAUGACGGUAGCAUAUGAAUAAGCACCGGCUAACUCCGUGCCAGCAGCCGCGGUAAUACGGAGGGUGCAAGCGUUACUCGGAAUCACUGGGCGUAAAGGACGCGUAGGCGGGUUGGAAAGUCAGGUGUGAAAUCCUACAGCUUAACUGUAGAACUGCACUUGAAACUGGUAACCUAGAGUAUGGGAGGGGGAGAUGGAAUUAGUGGUGUAGGGGUAAAAUCCGUAGAUAUCACUAGGAAUACCUAAAGCGAAGGCGAUCUCCUGGAACAUAACUGACGCUAAGGCGUGAAAGCGUGGGGAGCAAACAGGAUUAGAUACCCUAGUAGUC